AGUGAACGCUGGCGGUAGGCCUAACACAUGCAAGUCGAACGGCAGCACAGUAAGAGCUUGCUCUUACGGGUGGCGAGUGGCGGACGGGUGAGGAAUACAUCGGAAUCUACUUUUUCGUGGGGGAUAACGUAGGGAAACUUACGCUAAUACCGCAUACGACCUACGGGUGAAAGCAGGGGAUCUUCGGACCUUGCGCGAUUGAAUGAGCCGAUGUCGGAUUAGCUAGUUGGCGGGGUAAAGGCCCACCAAGGCGACGAUCCGUAGCUGGUCUGAGAGGAUGAUCAGCCACACUGGAACUGAGACACGGUCAAGACUCCUACGGGAGGCAGCAGUGGGGAAUAUUGGACAAUGGGCGCAAGCCUGAUCCAGCCAUACCGCGUGGGUGAAGAAGGCCUUCGGGUUGUAAAGCCCUUUUGUUGGGAAAGAAAAGCAGCAGGUUAAUACCCCGCUGUUCUGACGGUACCCAAAGAGUAAGCACCGGCUAACUUCGUG
rnacentral:rRNA from 1 species